CCUAGGGGGGGCAGCAGUGGGGAAUAUUGGACAAUGGGCGAAAGCCUGAUCCAGCCAUGCCGCGUGUGUGAAGAAGGCCUUCGGGUUGUAAAGCACUUUCAGUGGGGAAGAAAGCCUUGGGGCUAAUACCCUCGAGGAAGGACAUCACCCACAGAAGAAGCACCGGCUAACUCCGUGCCAGCAGCCGCGGUAAUACGGAGGGUGCGAGCGUUAAUCGGAAUUACUGGGCGUAAAGCGCGCGUAGGCGGUCUGAUAAGCCGGUUGUGAAAGCCCCGGGCUCAACCUGGGAACGGCAUCCGGAACUGUCAGGCUAGAGUGCAGGAGAGGAAGGUAGAAUUCCCGGUGUAGCGGUGAAAUGCGUAGAGAUCGGGAGGAAUACCAGUGGCGAAGGCGGCCUUCUGGACUGACACUGACGCUGAGGUGCGAAAGCGUGGGUAGCAAACAGGAUUAGAUACCCGGGUAGUC
rnacentral:rRNA from 1 species